UUUCCGUAGUUGAACCUGCGGAAGGAUCAUUACCUAGAGUUGUAGGCUUUGCCUGCUAUCUCUUACCCAUGUCUUUUGAGUACCUUCGUUUCCUCGGUGGGUUCGCCCGCCGAUUGGACAAAACUUAAACCCUUUGUAGUUGCAAUCAGCGUCUGAAAAAACUUAAUAGUUACAUCUUUCAACAACUGUUCUCUUGGUUCUGGCAUCGAAGAAGAACGCAGC
rnacentral:misc_RNA from 1 species